rnacentral:rRNA from 1 species
UACGUAUGGUGCAAGCGUUAUCCGGAUUUACUGGGCGUAAAGGGAGCGCAGGCGGCGCGCCAAGUCUGAUGUGAAACCCCGGGGCUCAACCCCGGGCAUGCAUUGGAAACUGGCGGGCUGGAGUGCCGGGGAGGUAAGCGGAAUUCCUAGUGUAGCGGUGAAAUGCGUAGAUAUUAGGAGGAACACCAGUGGCGAAGGCGGCUUACUGGACGGCAACUGACGCUGAGGCUCGAAAGCGUGGGGAGCAAACAGG